rnacentral:tRNA from 1 species
AAGGAUUUAAGUUAAUUAAACUAUUAACCUUCAAAGUUAAAUUUAUAUGAUUGUUCUAGUAUAAGCCUUA